AUUGAACGCUGGCGGCAGGCCUAACACAUGCAAGUCGAGCGGAGCGGCGGACGGGGGCGGAAUGCCAAGGUAUCUGCCUGGUAGUGGGGGAUAACGUUCGGAAACGGGCGCUAAUACCGCAUCCUAUCAGAUGAGCCUAGGUCGGAUUAGCUAUUUGUGGGGGUAAAGGCAUACCAAGGCGACGAUCCGUAACUGGUCUGAGAGGAUGAUCAGUCACACUGGAACUGAGACACGGCCCAGACUCCUACGGGAGGCAGCAGUGGGGAAUAUUGGACAAUGGGCGAAAGCCUGAUGCAGCCAUGCCGCGUGUGUGAAGAAGGUCUUCGGGUUGUAAAGCACUUUAAGUGGGGAGGCGUUACCCACAGAAUAAGCACCGGCUAACUCCGUGCCAGCAGCCGCGGUAAUAC
rnacentral:rRNA from 1 species